GAUGAACGCUGGCGGCGUGCCUAAUACAUGCAAGUCGAACGAACAGACGAUGAUCUUGCUCCUCUCACGUUACCAACGGACGAGUGACUAACACGUGGUUAACCUCUCUCUUAGACUUAGAUAUCUUCGACAAACCGUAGCUAUUACCGGGUAAUAUAUUGAACCGCAUUGUUCAAUAGUUUAAUACGGUUUUGCUAUGACUUCUCGAUCUAUCCGCGUCUCAUUAGCUUGUUGGUCAAGUAACGGCUUACCAAGUAGACGAUGCGUCGCCGACCUGGGCGGGUGAUCGGCCAGACAGGAACGGAGACACGGUCCAGACUCCUACGGGAGGCAGCAGUAGGGAAGCGGCCGCAAUGGGCGAAAGCCUGACGGAGCAACGACGCGUGAGUGAUGAAGGUGUUCGGAUCGUAAAGCUCUGUUAUUAGGAAAGAACAAAUGUGUAAGAAAAUAUGCACGUCUUGACGGUAGUGAAUGAGAAAGCCACGGCUAACUACGUG
rnacentral:rRNA from 1 species